rnacentral:rRNA from 1 species
GUGGGGAAUAUUGGACAAUGGGGGGAACCCUGAUCCAGCCAUGCCGCGUGUGUGAAGAAGGCCUUUUGGUUGUAAAGCACUUUAAGCGAGGAGGAGGCUACCGAGAUUAAUACUCUUGGAUAGUGGACGUUACUCGCAGAAUAAGCACCGGCUAACUCUGUGCCAGCAGCCGCGGUAAUACAGAGGGUGCAAGCGUUAAUCGGAUUUACUGGGCGUAAAGCGCGCGUAGGUGGCCAAUUAAGUCAAAUGUGAAAUCCCCGAGCUUAACUUGGGAAUUGCAUUCGAUACUGGUUGGCUAGAGUAUGGGAGAGGAUGGUAGAAUUCCAGGUGUAGCGGUGAAAUGCGUAGAGAUCUGGAGGAAUACCGAAGGCGAAGGCAGCCAUCUGGCCUAAUACUGACACUGAGGUGCGAAAGCAUGGGGAGCAAACAGGAUUAGAUACCCUAGUAGUCC